rnacentral:tRNA from 1 species
GGAGGGUGUAGCUCAGUGGUAGAGUGCGUGCUUAGCAUGCACAAGGUCCUGGGUUCAAUCCCCAGUACCUCCA